rnacentral:rRNA from 1 species
GGGGAGCUUGCUCCCUGGUGGCGAGCGGCGGACGGGUGAGUAAUGCAUAGGAAUCUGCCCGAUAGUGGGGGAUAACCUGGGGAAACCCAGGCUAAUACCGCAUACGUCCUACGGGAGAAAGCAGGGGAUCUUCGGACCUUGCGCUAUCGGAUGAGCCUAUGUCGGAUUAGCUGGUUGGUGAGGUAACGGCUCACCAAGGCGACGAUCCGUAGCUGGUCUGAGAGGAUGAUCAGCCACACUGGGACUGAGACACGGCCCAGACUCCUACGGGAGGCAGCAGUGGGGAAUAUUGGACAAUGGGCGAAAGCCUGAUCCAGCCAUGCCGCGUGUGUGAAGAAGGCUUUCGGGUUGUAAAGCACUUUCAGUGGGGAAGAAGGCCUGGCGGCCAAUACCCGUCAGGAACGACAUCACCCACAGAAGAAGCACCGGCUAACUCCGUGCCAGCAGCCGCGGUAAUACGGAGGGUGCGAGCGUUAAUCGGAAUUACUGGGCGUAAAGCGCGCGUAGGCGGCUUGAUAAGCCGGUUGUGAAAGCCCCGGGCUCAACCUGGGAACGGCAUCCGGAACUGUCAGGCUAGAGUGCAGGAGAGGAAGGUAGAAUUCCCGGUGUAGCGGUGAAAUGCGUAGAGAUCGGGAGGAAUACCAGUGGCGAAGGCGGCCUUCUGGACUGACACUGACGCUGAGGUGCGAAAGCGUGGGUAGCAAACAGGAUUAGAUACCCUGGUAGUCCACGCCGUAAACGAUGUCGACCAGCCGUUGGGUGCCUCGCGCACUUAGUGGCGAAGUUAACGCGAUAAGUCGACCGCC